UACGUAGGUGGCGAGCGUUGUCCGGAUUUACUGGGCGUAAAGGGAGCGUAGGCGGACUUUUAAGUGAGAUGUGAAAUACUCGGGCUCAACUUGAGUGCUGCAUUUCAAACUGGAAGUCUAGAGUGCAGGAGAGGAGAAUGGAAUUCCUAGUGUAGCGGUGAAAUGCGUAGAGAUUAGGAAGAACACCAGUGGCGAAGGCGGCUCUCUGGACUGUAACUGACACUGAGGCACGAAAGCGUGGGGAGCAAACAGG
rnacentral:rRNA from 1 species